rnacentral:rRNA from 1 species
GUUCAUCGGACUUGCUCUUGAUUCGCGGCGGACGGGUGAGUAACGCCUAGGAAUCUGCCUGGUAGUGGGGGACAACGUUUCGAAAGGAACGCUAAUACCGCAUACGUCCUACGGGAGAAAGCAGGGGACCUUCGGGCCUUGCGCUAUCAGAUGAGCCUAGGUCGGAUUAGCUAGUUGGUGAGGUAAUGGCUCACCAAGGCGACGAUCCGUAACUGGUCUGAGAGGAUGAUCAGUCACACUGGAACUGAGACACGGUCCAGACUCCUACGGGAGGCAGCAGUGGGGAAUAUUGGACAAUGGGCGAAAGCCUGAUCCAGCCAUGCCGCGUGUGUGAAGAAGGUCUUCGGAUUGUAAAGCACUUUAAGUUGGGAGGAAGGGCAGUAAGCUAAUACCUUGCUGUUUUGACGUUACCGACAGAAUAAGCACCGGCUAACUCUGUGCCAGCAGCCGCGGUAAUACAGAGGGUGCAAGCGUUAAUCGGAAUUACUGGGCGUAAAGCGCGCGUAGGUGGUUUGUUAAGUUGGAUGUGAAAGCCCCGGGCUCAACCUGGGAACUGCAUCCGAAACUGGCGAGCUAGAGUACGGUAGAGGGUGGUGGAAUUUCCUGUGUAGCGGUGAAAUGCGUAGAUAUAGGAAGGAACACCAGUGGCGAAGGCGACCACCUGGACUGAUACUGACACUGAUGUGCGAAAGCGUGGGGAGCAAACACGAUUAGAUACCCUGGUAGUCCACGCCGUAGACGAUGUCAACU